GAUUUCUCGUUUGUUUCAGGCUCCAUUAUGGCUCAGCAGGGCACUGCUCCCAGCCCACAGAUUGAAGACUCACUUGGCAGAAAGAAACCUAGAUGCUGUGAGAAGAGAGAAGGUGAGAGAACAGUUCAGGAGGAGUGGAAAAAGACAGAUGGACAGACACCGGAUAGUUUCCUACAGUAUGAGCGCCAGCUCCACCAAACGCCCCUCUUUACUAAAAAGCCGAAUUAUAAUGUUCUAAAGUUGGGAAUGAAAGAAGUCCAGCUGUUCCACAUCAAAUCAGGUAAAAUAGUAACUCCUAACUUUUUUCUUCACAUAUGCCUUUGAGAGUAUGACGGUAAGGGUGAACUAUAUGUCCAGAAAAAAAAGUGUAUGUAUUACUUACGCACAAAAUCGUCUUCUAGAAGAACAGCUAGUCAUAGUAUUCAAGAUGGAAUCCACUUAGUCACCAAACAUACGUAAUAUAUAAUCCUGUUCAUUUGGCUGUCAUAAAUAUUUCUUGCAUCCAAGUAAGUUUAAUUCCAUAGUUUGAGCCUCUCUCCACUUUUUUUGCCCUCUUAGCUUAAGAAAACACCUUUACAGAACUCCUUGUAUAAAUUUUUCAUAUAUGCUUACAAAGAGCUAUGAAAUUUUAUCAGCAGCAUGCUCUUUUUUGUUUAUGGAUGCACCCACAGCCUGUGAAAGGUCCCAGGCCAGGAAUUCAAUCCAAGCUGCAGCUGCGGCAUGUUGGAUCCUUUGGCCCACUGCAUCAGGCUGGGGAUGGAACCCUCACCUCUGCAGCAGCUCAAGCUGCUGCAGUUGAACUCUUAACCCCCUGCAAGAGCUCCUCGUAAUUAUUGCUUUAAGUUAAAGCUUUUCUAAUCUUUCCUUUCAGAUUGAGUCAUAGAGGGUUAGUUACCCUUUAAUAUCCAAUUCUUCCUUCUGCAUUAGUUACUCAGCUAUGUGAUUACAUUUUCUAAGCCUCCCUUGCAGCUAUGUGUGGCCAUGUAACUAAACUUUAAGUUGGUGAUGUGCAAACACUGUGCUAUGUGGAUCUUCUGAAACAUCUCCCUUCUCCUUCACCCUACUGUUUGGAAUGAAGACACAAUACUAGAUGGAUAGCCGUCUUGGGCCAUGGAUUUGAGGUGUGAAGGGUAACACUUUGCUUGACUUCCCUAUUAGAAGCCAAAUUUCAUGAGAACAGAGACCUUAUUUUCUUGGUCAAAACAAUAUCCCCUGCACCUAAAAAGUGUGCCCUGUGGUUAAGGGCUCAGGUAUUGAACAGGUUUUGAAUGAAUGAAUGAGGUUACUCCAGAUCCACGUAAAACACUAACCAUAAAGUUCUCCCAAGGACUGUUCAGCCAUCAUUAGGCAUGUACAAGGUGUCAAUUUCUGCCACAGAAUCAAGCUCAUGCUUAAUUCAAACCACAUUACUUCUGGAGUUCCCUGGUGGCUCAGUGGGUUAAGGACCUGGCAUUGUCACUGCUGUGGCUUGGGUUCAAUCCUUGGCAUGGGAACUUCCACAUGCCAUGGUAGCCAAAACAAACAAACAAACAAACAAACAAAAAAAACAAAAAAAAAA
rnacentral:lncRNA from 1 species